CUGUCCCUCAGACCUUCUUGGGGGCCAGACUAUAUUUUGAAAAAAAAAUAUGAACAAAUUCCUAUAUGUUCAUAUUUUUUUUUCAAAAUAUAGUCUGGCCCCCAAGAAGGUCUGAGGGACA